UGCGUAGGUGGUUUGUUAAGUUGGAUGUGAAAGCCCCGGGCUCAACCUGGGAACUGCAUCCAAAACUGGCAAGCUAGAGUACGGUAGAGGGUGGUGGAAUUUCCUGUGUAGCGGUGAAAUGCGUAGAUAUAGGAAGGAACACCAGUGGCGAAGGCGACCACCUGGACUGAUACUGACACUGAGGUGCGAAAGCGUGGGGAAGCAAACA
rnacentral:rRNA from 1 species